rnacentral:rRNA from 1 species
GUGCCAGCCGCCGCGGUAAUACGUAGGGGGCAAGCGUUGUCCGGAUUUAUUGGGCGUAAAGAGCGUGUAGGCGGCUAGAUAGGUCCGUUGUGAAAACUCGAGGCUCAACCUCGAGACGCCGAUGGAAACCAUCCAGCUAGAGUCCGGAAGAGGAGAGUGGAAUUCCCGGUGUAGCGGUGAAAUGCGCAGAUAUCGGGAAGAACACCCGUGGCUAAGGCGGCUCUCUAGUACGGUACUGACGCUGAGACGCGAAAGCGUGGGGAGCGAACAGGAUUAGAUACCCGUGUAGUCC